UCUCCGUUGGUGAACCAGCGGAGGGAUCAUUACCGAGUUUACAACUCCCAAUCCCAAUGUGAACCAUACCAAACUGUUGCCUCGGCGGGGUCACGCCCCGGGUGCGUCGCAGCCCCGGAACCAGGCGCCCGCCGGAGGGACCAACCAAACUCUUUCUGUAGUCCCCUCGCGGACGUUAUUUUUACAGCUCUGAGCAAAAAUUCAAAAUGAAUCAAAACUUUCAACAACGGAUCUCUUGGUUCUG
rnacentral:misc_RNA from 1 species